GGGGUUGUGGCUCAGUAGUAGAGCGCCUGCCUUGCACGUGUGAGACCCUGGGUUCGAUCCUCAGCACCA
rfam:Ictidomys tridecemlineatus contig037390, whole genome shotgun sequence.